GGAAGUAAAAGUCGUAACAAGGUUUCCGUAGGUGAACCUGCGGAAGGAUCAUUACUGAUUUAGCGAACCGAGCGUUAGCGAGGUUUUGCGAUCAACUUGUAUUUAAAACCCACUCUUUAAUGUAUAAAAUUUGUAUUAAUGAUAAAUUAAAAGAUCACUUUCAACAACGGAUCUCUUGGCUCUCGCAUCGAUGAAGAACGUAGCGAAGUGCGAUAAGUAAUGUGAAUUGCAGUAUUCCGUGAAUCAUCGAAUCUUUGAACGCAUAUUGCACUUUCUGGUAUUCCGGAAAGUAUGCCUGUUUGAGGGUCAGUUAAAUAAAAAUCGGUGUUGUUGCUGCCUUUCGUGGUGACGCGUCGGAAUUGAGUUGUCUUACCUUCGGUUAAGUGACUUAAAAUUUUGUAUGAUUUUUGAACGUAUUUAAAUUUAUUUGUACGUUUGAGAUAUCGAAUAUUUAUUAGGUUCGGUCAUUCUAACGACUCGCGCCUAUAAUUUUCCAUUAAAUGACCUCAAAUCAGGUAAGAAUACCCGCUGAACUUAAGCAUAUCAAUAAGCGGAGGA
rnacentral:rRNA from 1 species